UUCGGUGAUCAUAGGUGCGGGGCAACACCUGUUCCCAUCCCGAACACAGCAGUUAAGCCCGUACCGCCGAUGAUACUGCCCUGCGGGAAAGUAGGUCAUCGCCGAUU
rnacentral:rRNA from 1 species